GAUGAACGCUAGCGGCAGGCUUAAUACAUGCAAGUCGUGGGGCAGCAGGUUUGUAGCAAUACAGAUGCUGGCGACCGGCAAACGGGUGCGGAACGCGUACAGAACCUUCCUUUGAGCGGGGAAUAGCCCAGAGAAAUUUGGAUUAAUACCCCAUAGUAUAAUGAAGUGGCAUCACUUUAUUAUUAAAGAUUUAUCACUCGAAGAUGGCUGUGCGGCUGAUUAGGUAGUUGGCGGGUAAAGGCCCACCAAGCCUGCGAUCAGUAACUGGUGUGAGAGCACGACCAGUCACACGGGCACUGAGACACGGGCCCGACUCCUACGGGAGGCAGCAGUAAGAAUAUUGGUCAAUGGAGGCAACUCUGAACCAGCCAUGCCGCGUGGAGGAUGAAGGUCCUCUGGAUUGUAAACUUCUUUUAUAUGGGACGAAAAAAGGCUUUUCUAAGUCGUCUGACGGUACCAUAUGAAUAAGCAACCGGCUAACUCCGUGCCAGCA
rnacentral:rRNA from 1 species